rnacentral:rRNA from 1 species
UGAACGCUGGCGGCGUGCUUAACACAUGCAAGUCGAACGAUGAUCCCAGCUUGCUGGGGGAUUAGUGGCGAACGGGUGAGUAACACGUGAGUAACCUGCCCUUGACUCUGGGAUAAGCCUGGGAAACUGGGUCUAAUACCGGAUAUGACUCCUCAUCGCAUGGUGGGGGGUGGAAAGCUUUUGUGGUUUUGGAUGGACUCGCGGCCUAUCAGCUUGUUGGUGGGGUAAUGGCCUACCAAGGCGACGACGGGUAGCCGGCCUGAGAGGGUGACCGGCCACACUGGGACUGAGACACGGCCCAGACUCCUACGGGAGGCAGCAGUGGGGAAUAUUGCMCAAUGGGCGCAASCCUGAUGCAGCGACGCCGCGUGAGGGAUGACGGCCUUCGGGUUGUAAACCUCUUUCAGUA